rnacentral:rRNA from 1 species
UACGUAGGGGGCGAGCGUUGUCCGGAUUUAUUGGGCGUAAAGCGCGCGCAGGCGGCUCGCAGCGCCCGGCGUGAAAGCCCCCAGCUUAACUGGGGGAGGUCGUCGGGGACGAGCGGGCUGGAGGUCGGUAGGGGCGAGCGGAAUUCCCGGUGUAGUGGUGGAAUGCGUAGAGAUCGGGAGGAACACCAGUGGCGAAGGCGGCUCGCUGGGCCGAACCUGACGCUCAGGCGCGAAAGCGUGGGGAGCGAUCCGG